GCUCCGCAGCAGCAGGCGCCGCGCCGCCGCUCAACGGUGCGUAAAAAACCUUCCGCCGCGGCGGUUAGACCCGGCGCGGUGACGCUCUCCCGUCCUCCGGAGGAAACUUCGUCGGAUUAAAAUUCGGUGAACUUCCGACUCGUCUCCGCUGCUGGUGUUUGUUCUGUCAAAUAAACCGAAGCGACGUUUAAAACGCGGCGGGCAGCGACGACCGGAGCUGCAGCGCCACGGCCGGAGCUGCGGCGGCGGAGGGAACAGCAGCAGAAAAGAAAAAGCUCCAGCGGCUCCUGGUGACAUUUUCUAUCCGGACAACCGCGACCGAAACUCGGUGGAUCUGAGCGCGGAGAUGCCGGGGAUGAUGGAUAAAGGCUCCGAGUACUUAGGGAAAGGUCGAUCCAACGGAACCAAGAGUCCGUCCAACGCGUCCAACGGACAUUUCUCUGAGGAGAGCGGCAGCGACGACGAGCACGAUGUGGGGAUGCGGGUCGGAGCGGACUAUCAGGCCAACAUCCCCGAGUUCGAGCCCGGUGAGUGUGUGCGGUGGGACGGACGGUGGUAGCCUCGGUCACAGUGAGGGAGGUUCGAAACUCAGCAACACUGAGGAACACAUUUGAUUCAAUCAGUCAGAAACACCAGCCUCCACUGGGACAUGGUUGAUCUGUAGCAUUAUUAUUGGAAGAGUCCUGUUCGCUCCUCAUGAUCCACAUCAAUCACAACAGAGGGACUCUGUACAAGUUCCAGAUCUGUGUAUUAAUAUAUGGAAACAUACAUUACUACUGUAUUGUCUGUGUGUAGACAUAUCAAAGCUGCAGCUUAUUCAUAUUGUCAUAUUAUUUCAUCUGUCUAUGAAAUCAGCAAAAUUACCCACAAUCCCCGGGGACAUAUUCUCAUCUUAAGGAAAUAAAAAAUUUAGACGCAUUUCAGAAUCUGGUGUCAACAAAUGUUUGUCUUUGCUGAAAAGAGAAUGGAAUGAAUAAUAAAAACAGCUGCUGAAAAA